CAAUCUGCAAUAACCUAAAACGCAGUUGCAGGGGAGAGUUUAGACCUAGACAGAGCUUUCUGGUCGUUGUCGUUCCAUUUCACAAUCAAACGAAAGAAAGUUUUUUUUUUCUUUUCAAAUGCUUCAUUCAACACUCACAACUCAAUAGCGACGCGGCCAGUUGUUUGAGUUUCUUUUGCAACCUACUGAAAUAAUGAAGAGAGGAAAAUGUCAUAAACUUAACCGUAUUGAAGACAGACUCAGUGAUUUACCCGAUUGCAUUCUACUUCACAUUAUGUCUUUUUUGAACACCAAACGUGCCGUUCAAACUUCCAUACUUUCCACAAGAUGGAGGAAUGUCUGGAAGUAUCUUCCCAAACUUACAUUAAACCUUACAUUAGCUUCUUCACAUUUUAAUAUUGUCUCUCGAAUUUUCUCACUUCGGGAUGACUCAACUGCACUGGACACUCUUAAUUUUAGUCCUUGUGGUUUGGUGGAGCCUCGCCUACUCGAAAGGGUUAUAGAAUACAUUGUUUCACAUAAUAUCAAGCAAUUACGAAUGGAUGUUAUAUGUGAUAUUGAACAUUUUAAGCCUUGCUUAUUUUCAUGUCAAACUUUAACAUAUCUUAACCUUAUAGUUAUUCGCCCUCACCUUCAUGCUCUGACAUUAUUUCCAAAUUCUCUAACUUUGCCAGCAUUAACCACGUUGUCUCUACAAUACUUUGCCUUUUCUGUUGGCAAUGAUGGUCGAGUCGAACCUUUUUCAGCAUUAAACAAGUUGAAUAGUUUGAUCAUUAAUAGAUGUAAAGUAUUGGAUGCACAAAACCUCUGCAUAUCUAAUACCACACUUGUCCAUUUAAAGAUUAUUGCGCCUGAUAGUCCUCCCAAGGCCUCUUGCAAAAUUGAGUUAUCCACUCCAAGUCUUUCUAACUUUUAUUUUAGGGGCACUCCUAUUCAGAAACUCUGUGGGAGCAAUGGCAAUCUCUCUUCUAUCAAACAUGUAACUAUUUAUGUUGUGUCAACUUCUGCGAAAACUCCUUUGGUUCUACUCAAUUGGCUGGUUGAACUUGCUAAUAUUGAAUCAUUAACGGUCUCUCCAGGAACUCUUAAGGUUCUCUCAUUUGUUCCUGAUUUGUUGGAGAUUGAAUUCCCUUCUUUGUGUCAUUUGAAGUCACUGAAUGUAAAGUCGGAUCUACCUUUGUGUUUCAUACCGGAGUUCCCUUCCUUAGUCGAUUUUUUGCGCCAAAACUCACCUUCAGUAAAGAUUAACGGCAUAUAAUGAUUAAGGCCAAUGAAGAUUGAUAUCAAGAGGAGGAUUGACUGCAUAACAUCUAGUUGGUUACAGGAUUGUAAUAUGUUUCAUUUGAUACGUUGAAACCAAAGCCAAGAGCUAGCACAUGAAAACAGAAGUUAUGGAUGUUUGGUUUUUCAGAAGAGGCACGGUGGAGGGCAGGUAUUGAAUCUGUGAUGCAGAUGUUUUGCCAAGAAAGUGGACUAAAGAGAGUCCUCGAAGCGUGGAUACCUUAUAACUAUAACAUGUUUUCCAAGACAAAUCGUUCUAAUAGCUAGAUAGCAUGUUUGAGAUUUUCACCCAUUUGGAUUGGUCUGGUGGUAUUGGCUUGGGACCUAGGAGUGUGCUCCUCCUUAAGGUCUCAGGUUCGAUUCUCUCUGGUGCCAAUUAAGUUAAGGUGGACUAAUUUAGCUUCUUCAAAAAAAAAAAAUUAUUUAUUUUCUAUAAUUUGACUAUAUUUUGUUCUAUAAUUUGUUUCGUGUAUUAUACUUUUAGAGGAUUUA